AGAGAUAGGAAUUGAACCUAUAANUAAGAGAUCAAAACUCUANGUAAUUCCAUUUUACCACUCCCUA
rnacentral:tRNA from 1 species